UACAGAGGGGGCAAGCGUUAUUCGGAAUUAUUGGGCGUAAAGGGCGCGUAGGCGGCCUGGCAAGUGGAAGGUGAAAUCCCUCGGCUUAACCGAGGAACUGCCCUCCAAACUGCUUGGCUUGAGACCGGGAGAGGUGAGUGGAAUUCCCAGUGUAGCGGUGAAAUGCGUAGAUAUUGGGAGGAACACCAGUGGCGAAGGCGGCUCACUGGACCGGUACUGACGCUGAGGAGCGAAAGCGUGGGGAGCGAACAGG
rnacentral:rRNA from 1 species